rnacentral:rRNA from 1 species
AACGAACGCUGGCGGCAGGCUUAACACAUGCAAGUCGAACGAUAUAGUGGCAGACGGGUGAGUAACGCGUGGGAACGUGCCUUUCACUACGGAAUAGCUCUUGGAAACGGGAGGUAAUACCGUAUACGCCCUUAGGGGGAAAGAUUUAUCGGUGAAAGAUCGGCCCGCGUUAGAUUAGCUAGUUGGUAAGGUAAUGGCUUACCAAGGCUACGAUCUAUAGCUGGUCUGAGAGGAUGAUCAGCCACACUGGGACUGAGACACGGCCCAGACUCC